UCUGAGAAGUUUUGUAAUAUUUUACUUGUUUCAGAUUUGUCAACCAAAAAUGGUCCAUUUGACAUCGAUGUUGGAGACAGAGUCAGAGUGAAGCCUUCCAUUACCACCCCAAAACAUAACUGGGGUAGAAACGUCACUCAUAAGAGUGUGGGUGUGGUGAAAGACAUAAAAGAUGAUGACAGUGUGGUUGUUGACUUCCCUGGACAUGCAAACUGGAAAGGAAUUAUCACUGAAAUGGAGCUAGUAACUAAUGAUGAUGAUGAUGAGAUUGGACCUUCAAGUCUGGACUCCAAUAUUAAGAUUGGAGACAAAGUUCGUGUGAAGCCGUCUGUUGUUUCUCCAACCCACAAAUGGGGAGCAGUCACUCACAAAAGCAUUGGUGUUGUUAAAAAAAUUCAGGGCGACUCCUUGACUGUAGAUUUCCCUGAGCAAAAAAA
rnacentral:lncRNA from 1 species